rnacentral:rRNA from 1 species
CCUACGGGUGGCAGCAGUGGGGAAUAUUGGACAAUGGGCGAAAGCCUGAUCCAGCCAUGCCGCGUGUGUGAAGAAGGCCUUCGGGUUGUAAAGCACUUUCAGUGGGGAAGAAAGCCUUGGGGCUAAUACCCUCGAGGAAGGACAUCACCCACAGAAGAAGCACCGGCUAACUCCGUGCCAGCAGCCGCGGUAAUACGGAGGGUGCGAGCGUUAAUCGGAAUUACUGGGCGUAAAGCGCGCGUAGGCGGUCUGAUAAGCCGGUUGUGAAAGCCCCGGGCUCAACCUGGGAACGGCAUCCGGAACUGUCAGGCUAGAGUGCAGGAGAGGAAGGUAGAAUUCCCGGUGUAGCGGUGAAAUGCGUAGAGAGCGGGAGGAAUACCAGUGGCGAAGGCGGCCUUCUGGACUGACACUGACGCUGAGGUGCGAAAGCGUGGGUAGCAAACAGGAUUAGAUACCCCUGUAGUC